rnacentral:rRNA from 1 species
UACGGGGGGGGCAAGCGUUGUUCGGAAUUAUUGGGCGUAAAGGGCUCGUAGGCGGUCCGUCACGUCGGGAGUGAAAACUCAGGGCUCAACCCUGAGCGUGCUUCCGAUACGGGCGGACUAGAGGUAUGCAGGGGAGAACGGAAUUCCUGGUGUAGCGGUGGAAUGCGCAGAGUAUCAGGAGGAACACCGGUGGCGAAGGCGGUUCUCUGGGCAUUACCUGACGCUGAGGAGCGAAAGCAUGGGGAGCGAACAGG